UACGUGGGGCGCAAGCGUUGUCCGGAAUUAUUGGGCGUAAAGAGCUCGUAGGCGGUCUGUCGCGUCUGCUGUGAAAACUCGGGGCUUAACCCCGGGCCUGCAGUGGGUACGGGCAGACUAGAGUGCGGUAGGGGAGACUGGAAUUCCUGGUGUAGCGGUGAAAUGCGCAGAUAUCAGGAGGAACACCGGUGGCGAAGGCGGCUUCCUGGACCGACACUGACGCUGAGGCGCGAAAGCUAGGGGAGCAAACGGG
rnacentral:rRNA from 1 species